rnacentral:rRNA from 1 species
CUACGUAGGGGGCGAGCGUUGUCCGGAAUUACUGGGCGUAAAGGGCGUGUAGGCGGCCGAGCAAGUCAAGUGUGAAAAGCCCCGGCUUAACCGAGGCAUUGCACAUGAAACUGCAUGGCUUGAGUGCAGGAGAGGGAAGUGGAAUUCCUAGUGUAGCGGUGAAAUGCGUAGAUAUUAGGAGGAACACCAGUGGCGAAGGCGACUUCCUGGACUGUAACUGACGCUGAGGCGCGAAAGCGGUGGUAGCAAACAGGAUGAGAUACCCUGGUAGUCCACGCCGUAAACGAUGGGUACUAGGUGUGGGUAGUUCACACUAUCCGUGCCGCAGCAAACGCAAUAAGUACCCCGCCUGGGGAGUACGGCCGCAAGGUUGAA